rnacentral:rRNA from 1 species
UACGAAGGGUGCAAGCGUUACUCGGAAUUACUGGGCGUAAAGGGUGCGUAGGUGGUUCUUUAAGUCUGCUGUGAAAGCCCCGGGCUCAACCUGGGAAUGGCAGUGGAUACUGGAGAGCUAGAGUGCGGUAGAGGGUAGUGGAAUUCCCGGUGUAGCAGUGAAAUGCGUAGAUAUCGGGAGGAACACCUGUGGCGAAAGCAGCGCACUGGACCAUAACUGACGCUGAGGCGCGAAAGCUAGGGGAGCAAACAGG